AGCAGUCGCCGCGGUAAAACGGAGGGGGCUAGCGUUGUUCGGAAUUACUGGGCGUAAAGCGCACGUAGGCGGCUUGGUAAGUUAGAGGUGAAAGCCCGGAGCUCAACUCCGGAAUUGCCUUUAAGACUGCCGAGCUAGUAGGUGAGAGAGGUAAGUGGAAUUCCGAGUGUAGAGGUGAAAUUCGUAGAUAUUCGGAAGAACACCAGUGGCGAAGGCGGCUUACUGGCUUAUUCUAGACGCUGAGGUGCGAAAGCGUGGGGAGCAAACAGGAUUAGAUACCCCAGUAGUCCCUGUCUCUUAUAC
rnacentral:rRNA from 1 species